AAUGAGAAGAAGGAAAGGAAAAUAUUUUGGGUGUGAAUUAGGGAAGGAAGGAAGGAAUUAAUUGGAAAUGAGAGGAAGGAAAGAAAAAAUAUCCUGGGUGUGAAUUAGGGAAGGAAAAGGAAGGAAGGAAGGAAGGAAUUGGAAAUGAGAAGAAGGAAAGGAAAAUAUUUUGGGUGUGAAUUAGGGAAGGAAGGAAGGAAUUAAUUGGAAAUGAGAGGAAGGAAAGAAAAAAUAUCUUGGGUGUGAAUUAGGGAAGGAAGGAGGGAAGGAAGGAAGGAAUUGGAAAUGAGAGGAAGGAAAGGAAAAAUAUCCUGGGUGUGUGAAUUAGGGAGGGAGGGAAGGAAGGAAGGAAGGAAAGAAGGAAGGAAGGGAGCUUCUCUCGCUCUUGCUUUCCAGAGAGAGCGAAUUUGGAGAAAAGCAAUCUAGGAAAUGGAAAAAAAAAAUUCUCAGUUGGCCUUUGGAGAUGGGUCCAUCUUUCCCAAAAAAACAGAGCGAUUCCUUUCAAAACGUUUAAUCGCACCUUCCCUUCCAGUACCCUCUUUUUUUUUCUUUUGCAGUCAUGGGGGAGCAUGGCCUCAGAAUUGGAAUAAUUAAGAAGAUCCCCCCCCCACCUCCAGAACCCAAUCUCCUCCUCAAAAGCCAAAGUGGUUUUCAGGUUUUUUUUUUAAAUUUUUAUUUCUCUCCAACGAAAAAGUGGCAAAUCCUUGUUGGAAGGAUUGUGAUGGUGAUGGUGAAAGCUCUGCCCCCACCCCCCAAAUAGUGAUGGCGAAGCCCCUUUUUCCCUCUCCCUCCCGUUACAAAUGCAAAAGGCCUUUUCAUCUUAAGGUCGCCUCUCCGUUAGAAAUUAAAACACACCCCGAUAAUUUCUUUUCCUGUCUUCAGCAAUUUGGGGGAGAGGGGGGGAAAGGAAAAAAAACUGUGUGGGCAACGAAGGCCAGAUUUUAAAAAUGUGGUGUUUUUUUUUUUUUUUUUUGAGCAUUCUGAUUAAUUUAAUUCGUUUUUUUUUUUUUAAAGAAUUUUCUUUUCUUAUUUUUCGGGCAUUGGGGGGGGGAAAUGAAACAGGGUGAUGGACACAAUCAAGAGAAAUAAAAGGCAGGAGAAGUUGCUGCUGAAUAGUUUGAAGAGGCGCCUGAGUGAAGAGCUUUUUAAUUUUAAUUUUUUAAAAAAUUCUGUGUCUUUCUCUCUCUUUCUCUCUCUCUCUCUUUUUUUUUUUUGCAUAGCCUCGUCGAGCCCAAAAGCUGGAACCUUUGCUCCUGAUUGUCCAAACGCAAUUCUUGUCCAGAAAAACAUACAAACCAAGAAUUGUGUCUGGACAUCGGUGGCUAAGCCUUCAAAAUCAUCCGUGUCGCCUGCAUAUUCAAAAAAACAAAACAAAAAAACGGAUUUCCUCCAUCUACAGUGGAUAGCCAGGAGUUGCUUCUUGCAGGGCAAACUUGCUUCAUCCAGAUGGACUUUAACUCCCAUGAUCCCCUGCCAGCGUGGAAUGUGGAGCUAUGGGAUAUGAAGUCCAACGGAUCUGAAGGGUAUUUCAGAUUGGGAGAGGGGAAUGGCUGUAGAGAGGUUAUUUAUUUAUUUAUUUAAAGUAAAAUACAUCUGAGCCAUCGGAAUUGUAUUCUGUUCGCUAAAACCAUGCUUUUAAAUGCAGAUAUGUGGCUGGCUCGUUUUAUUAAAUUAUUUUAUGUAUUUUUAAUUUUUGUAACGGAAAGACAAGGUGUUCAUUUUUGGUGAUUGCUCAUUUAUUCCUUUGCAAUGUUUUUACUCCAUUUCCAAACACGUUUACAAUUGGCAAGGAAUUGAAACACAAUCCACCGUAGCUAUUUUGCACGAUUAACGCAACAAAUCUUUUUGGCAUUAUCACUUAGUUGUGUUUCAGCAAUUUAAGGAUUGAUAUGAUAUUAUAGUUUAGUGUUGUGUUUUGUUGAUGUGCAACUGACCGAUUGGAUGCCAAGUUAUGAUUUUAACGUGCAUCUUAUUUGCUUUAUGUAUUAUUUUAUUGUAGAAUUUUUAACUGGAUAGUCCUUGAGUGGGUUUUUUUUAUUAUUAUUUGUUCCGGUCUUUUGACUGUAAUAAACACUGACUUGGCCUGACAA